CCCUUAGAUGUUCUGGGCCGCACGCGUGCUACACUGAGUGGAUCAGCGGGUCAGGUUGCGCGAAAGUGUUUCCUAAUCUUGAAAUCCGCUCGUGAUGGGGAUUGACGGUUGCAAUUUUCCGUCAUGAACGAGGAAUACCUUGUAAGCGCGGGUCAUCAUCCCGCGCUGAAUACGUCCCUGCCCUUUGUACACACCGCCCGUCGCUCCUACCGAUUGAGUGGUCCGGUGAGGCUUUGGGAUCUGAGCAAAGAGAGCGUUUCGCUCGUUUUGCCCGGAAAACUCAGUCGAACCUUAUCAUUUAGAGGAAGUAGAAGUCGUAACA
rnacentral:rRNA from 1 species